rnacentral:rRNA from 1 species
CCCUACUGCUAUCGGGGUGGGACUAAGACAUGCUAGUCGAGCGCCUUGAGCUAUGGCGAGGCGCGGCGUACAGCUCAGUAACACGUGGCUAACCUACCCUUAGGACGGAGACAACCCCGGGAAACUGGGGCUAAUAUCUGAUAGGUGAGGAGGCCUGGAAUGGUUCUUCGCUGAAAAGGCGUUGAAACCAUGCUUUUCAGCGUCGCCUAAGGAUGGGGCCGCGUCCGAUCAGGUUGUUGGUGGGGUAACGGCUCACCAAGCCUAUAACCGGUACGGGCCGUGAGAGCGGGAGCCCGGAGAUGGGCACUGAGACAAGGGCCCAGGCCCUACGGGGCGCAGCAGUCGCGAAAACUCCGCAAUGCGCGAAAGCGUGACGGGGCUACCCCGAGUGCCGUCCGCUGAGGAUGGCUUUUCCCCGGUGUAAUGAGCCGGGGGAAUAAGGAGAGGGCAAGUCUGGUGUCAGCCGCCGCGGUAAUACCAGCUCUCCGAGUGGUAGGGACGAUUAUUGGGCUUAAAGCGUCCGUAGCCGGCUUAGCAAGUCUUCUGUUAAAUUCAGCGACCUAAUCGUUGAGCCGCGGGAGAUACUACUAGGCUAGGAGGCGGGAGAGGCCGACGGUAUUCUCGGGGUAGGGGUGAAAUCCUAUAAUCCCGGGAGGACCACCAGUGGCGAAGGCUGUCGGCUAGAACGCGCUCGACGGUGAGGGAUGAAAGCUGGGGGAGCGAACCGGAUUAGAUACCCGGGUAGUCCCAGCUGUAAACGAUGCAGGCUAGGUGUUGGCGCGGCUACGUGCCGCUCCAGUGCCGCAGGGAAGCCGUUAAGCCUGCCGCCUGGGAAGUACGGCCGCAAGGCUGAAACUUAAAGGAAUUGGCGGGGGAGCACCACAAGGUGUGAAGCUUGCGGUUU